rnacentral:rRNA from 1 species
GCGCAGGAAAAGAAACCAACAGGGAUUGCCCCAGUAACGGCGAGUGAAGCGGCAACAGCUCAAAUUUGAAAUCUGGCUUCGGCCCGAGUUGUAAUUUGCAGAGGAAGCUUUAGGCGCGGCACCAUCUGAGUCCCCUGGAACGGGGCGCCACAGAGGGUGAGAGCCCCGUAUAGAUGGACGCCUAGCCUGUGUAAAGCUCCUUCGACGAGUCGAGUAGUUUGGGAAUGCUGCUCAAAAUGGGAGGUAAAUUUCUUCUAAAGCUAAAUACCGGCCAGAGACCGAUAGCGCACAAGUAGAGUGAUCGAAAGAUGAAAAGCACUUUGAAAAGAGGGUUAAAUAGCACGUGAAAUUGUUGAAAGGGAAGCGCUUGUGACCAGACUUGCGCCGGGCGGAUCAUCCGGUGUUCUCACCGGUGCACUCCGCCCGGCUCAGGCCAGCAUCGGUUCUCGUGGGGGGAUAAAGGCACCGGGAACGUAGCUCCUCCGGGAGUGUUAUAGCCCGGGGCGUAAUGCCCUCGCGGGGACCGAGGACCGCGCAUCUGCAAGGAUGCUGGCGUAAUGGUCAUCAGCGACCCGUCUUGAAACACGGACCAAGGAGUCAAGGUUUUGCGCGAGUGUUUGGGUGUAAAACCCGCACGCGUAAUGAAAGUGAACGUAGGUGAGAGCUUCGGCGCAUCAUCGACCGAUCCUGAUGUUCUCGGAUGGUUUUGAGGCUGGUUCUGACCGUCGUUUUACAUCGUCCUCAGGGGGAAAAAACUCGCCGGUCAAAAU